UACGUAGGGUGCGAGCGUUAAUCGGAAUUACUGGGCGUAAAGCGUGCGCAGGCGGUUUUGUAAGUCAGAUGUGAAAUCCCCGGGCUCAACCUGGGAACUGCGUUUGAAACUACAAGGCUAGAGUGUGGCAGAGGGGGGUGGAAUUCCACGUGUAGCAGUGAAAUGCGUAGAUAUGUGGAGGAAUACCGAUGGCGAAGGCAGCCCCCUGGGAUAACACUGACGCUCAUGCACGAAAGCGUGGGGAGCAAACAGG
rnacentral:rRNA from 1 species